rnacentral:rRNA from 1 species
GAUGAACGCUGGCGGCGUGCCUAAUACAUGCAAGUCGAGCGAACGGACGAGAAGCUUGCUUCUCUGAUGUUAGCGGCGGACGGGUGAGUAACACGUGGAUAACCUACCUAUAAGACUGGGAUAACUUCGGGAAACCGGAGCUAAUACCGGAUAAUAUUUUGAACCGCAUGGUUCAAAAGUGAAAGACGGUCUUGCUGUCACUUAUAGAUGGAUCCGCGCUGCAUUAGCUAGUUGGUAAGGUAACGGCUUACCAAGGCAACGAUGCAUAGCCGAACUGAGAGCGUGAUCGGCCACACUGGAACUGAGACACGGUCCAGACUCCUACGGGAGGCAGCAGUAGGGAAUCUUCCGCAAUGGGCGAAAGCCUGACGGAGCAACGCCGCGUGAGUGAUGAAGGUCUUCGGAUCGUAAAACUCUGUUAUUAGGGAAGAACAUAUGUGUAAGUAACUGUGCACAUCUUGACGGUACCUAAUCAGAAAGCCACGGCUAACUACGUG